UACAGAGGGUGCGAGCGUUGUCCGGAAUCACUGGGCGUAAAGGGCGCGUAGGUGGCGCAACAAGUCAGUGGUGAAAGCUCGACGCUCAACGUCGAGUCGGCCACUGAGACUGUUGGGCUUGAGCACUGUAGAGGCUAAUGGAAUUCCGGGUGUAGCGGUGGAAUGCGUAGAGAUCCGGAAGAACACCGGUGGCGAAGGCGGUUAGCUGGGCAGUUGCUGACGCUGAGGCGCGACAGCGUGGGGAGCAAACAGG
rnacentral:rRNA from 1 species